UACGUAGGGUGCAAGCGUUGUCCGGAAUUAUUGGGCGUAAAGAGCUCGUAGGCGGUUUGUCGCGUCGAAUGUGAAAACCCGGGGCUCAACCCCGGGCCUGCAUUCGAUACAGGCAGACUAGAGUUCGGUAGGGGAGUCUGGAAUUCCUGGUGUAGCGGUGAAAUGCGCAGAUAUCAGGAGGAACACCGGUGGCGAAGGCGGGACUCUGGGCCGAUACUGACGCUGAGGAGCGAAAGCGUGGGGAGCAAAUAGG
rnacentral:rRNA from 1 species